rnacentral:lncRNA from 1 species
CUGGGAUUCACUACGCUUGCUCUCGUGGUUUCGGUGACUUGCCUCAGCCUCCUUUCAGUGUGGACAAAACUGCGCACUAGGGGGAGGCUGCCCCCGGGCCCCACCCCCCUUCCCAUUAUUGGGAAUCUACUGCAACUGAACCUCAAGGACAUCCCUGCAUCGCUUUCCAAGUCUGUGAGCGUAUGUCUGUGUUUCUGUGCUGGACAGCACAUGCCGUGGGCACACGUGGAAGCCAGCAAACACCUUGAAGGCCUGGAUUCUCUCUUUCCACCAAAAGUCU